rnacentral:tRNA from 1 species
AGUUAAUGAACUUGUAUUAAGUAUAUAUUUUGAAAAUAUAAAAAAGAGUAAUUUCUCUAUUAACUU